GCGCCCAUAGCUCAACUGGAUAGAGCAUCUGACUACGGAUCAGAAGGUUGGGGUUCAAUCCUCCUGGGCGUACCA
rnacentral:tRNA from 1 species